UCCUCUUCUCUCCUACUCUAAAACGCUAGCUUGCCGCUCAACCAGCUAGCUCUUUCUUUUCACUAAUUUAAUUCAGGUUAAUUAGCUAGCAACAGUGGCCGUGAUGAUGGGGUUGGAGAGGUUGGUAGUGACUUUAAAAUCUAAAAUAAGGUCCAGCUUGAAGAUGAAGAAACCUUAUGAUAAAAUCGAAAAGAGCGAGAGCAUGAGAUUUGAGAUAAGAAGCCGGAAGGCUCGGAAGCUUAUUGAAAAGACCUUGAAAACCGCGGAUUCGCCAAAGACCAUGAUCAAGACUAGUACUUCAGCGUACGUAGCUGGUGUACGUUUCUAAUCAUCAUCCAAUGCUUGAAACAACAACCAUAUAUGCUAGCUGGUUAAUUAAUUCCUACUUUUUUAUGUACGUUAGCCAUUGUGCAUGCAUGGUUUAAUAUACGAUCGAGAUGCUGAUCAGGAUUCCCCUCCGCCGGCCUAGCUCUCUGAUCACUCUCUCUUCUUGCGAGUAAUUUACUAUUUAAAUAUUUAUGAUUAUGCAUAUAUGCAAGGCCUUGUACAACCAUAUAUAUUAGGUUUUUAAAAUGCUUUAA